GACGAACGCUGGCGGCGUGCUUAACACAUGCAAGUCGAACGCUGAAGCUUGGUGCUUGCACUGGGUGGAUGAGUGGCGAACGGGUGAGUAAUACGUGAGUAACCUGCCCUUGACUCUGGGAUAAGCCUGGGAAACUGGGUCUAAUACUGGAUACGACAUGUCACCGCAUGGUGGUGUGUGGAAAGGGUUUUACUGGUUUUGGAUGGGCUCACGGCCUAUCAGCUUGUUGGUGGGGUAAUGGCUCACCAAGGCGACGACGGGUAGCCGGCCUGAGAGGGUGACCGGCCACACUGGGACUGAGACACGGCCCAGACUCCUACGGGAGGCAGCAGUGGGGAAUAUUGCACAAUGGGCGGAAGCCUGAUGCAGCGACGCCGCGUGAGGGAUGACGGCCUUCGGGUUGUAAACCUCUUUCAGCACGGAAGAAGCGAAAGUGACGGUACGUGCAGAAGAAGCGCUGGCUAACUACGUG
rnacentral:rRNA from 1 species